rnacentral:rRNA from 1 species
AACUAACAAGGAUUCCCCUAGUAACGGCGAGUGAAGAGGGAAGAGCUCAAAUUUGAAAGCUGGUACCUUCGGUAUCCGCGUUGUAACCUCGAGACACGUUUUCCGUGCGGCGCUAUGGACAAGUUCCUUGGAACAGGACAUCGUAGAGGGUGAAAAUCCCGUACUUGCCAUGGAUGUACCGUGCUUUGCGAUACGUGCUCUAAGAGUCGAGUUGUUUGGGAUUGCAGCUCAAAAUGGGUGGUAGACUCCAUCUAAAGCUAAAUAUCGGGGAGAGACCGAUAGCGAACAAGUACCGUGAGGGAAAGAUGAAAAGCACUUUGGAAAGAGAGUUAAAAGUACGUGAAAUUGUCGAAAGGGAAGCGCUUGAAGUCAGCCAUGCCGCUCAGGACUCAGCCUGGCUUUUGCUUGGUGUAUUUCCUGGGUAGCAAGUCAGCAUUGGUUUGGAUCGUCGGAGAAGCAUAGUCGGAAUGUGGCGCCCUCGGGCGUGUUAUAGCCUUCUAUUGGAUACGACGAUCUAGACCAAGGAACG